rnacentral:lncRNA from 1 species
GUUUAAUCAUAUUAUUGAAUACUAUAAAAUAUUUUAAUGUCUGGGGGCCUCCUCUUUCCCUCUGCAUUGGGUUUUGUUUUAGUGUCCUCUCGACUAUUGUUACCUGUUUGUUCAUAAAAGCUGUAAUAUCACAGAACCUACCUCUGUGAAGAAACUUGUUGGCAAUUUUUCUCCAUAAUAUAAAAUUUUGAUAUUUGAAAUAAUAAUAUAUUAAUAUAUGUUUGAAAGUUUCUGAAAUUUGUUUGCUAAUAUUUUAUUUUGAAAAUUUGCAUCUCUGUUCAGGAGCAUGAUUGAAUUUUCAGUUUCCUGUCUUUUGAGAUCAAAGUAUAUCUGCCUCAUGAGAUGUGUGUUUACGUAUAGGUUUCUUUCUCUUUUUUCCAUUCUCUUCAAGACUUUGGAAUUAUUUAUUCCUUGAAGAUGUGGUAGAAUUUCUGUUUAAAACUCUUUGGCCCUGGUGUUUUUUAAUGAGCAGAUUGCAAUUACUGAUUCAAUUUCUCCAGUUCCUCAGUGGUUUAUUCAGAUUUUCUGUUUCUUUUUCAAACAAUUUUGAUUAUGUAUUUCAAUAAAACCCCCUGUUUCCCUUAUUUUCUAAUUCAUUUACAAUAUAUUUGCUAAAGCAUUCUUUUAUGAUCCCUAACCAUCAUGUUUGUAGCUGUAGACUCCGUUUGUCCACAGUAUCUUUUAUUUGUACUUUCUUUUUGUUGAAAAAAAAAGAAAGUUUAUCUACUUUUAAAGAAUUGGCUUUGGGUCUGUAAUUUUUUUCCCCCUACUACUUCAUUAUUUUGGUUCAUUAAUUUUCAGUUUUUAUCCUUUUCUUUCCUCUAUUCAAUUUUCUUUGCUGAGAUUUCUUUUCCCUAAUUUUUUUGAUUGUACAUUUAGGUCAUUAAUUUUCAAACUUUUAUGUCAAGUGCAUGUACUUAAGCAAUAAAUUUCCCUCUAACUGUAGCUUUAUCUGCACCUUAGAGAUUUUUAUAAAUAGAGUUUUAAAUGUAACUCAGGGCUAAAUAUUUACAAUUAUUCUUCUUAUUAUUAAUCUGUGACCUACUUAAAAUCAUUUCAGAAACUUCUUAUUAAAGAUACAUUCAGACUUUUUCUUCUGGAUGGUAGAUUAAAAUUAGAAGUUGAUUAAGAUCUUGCUUAGAGAGAAGAAAAACACGUUUUAAAAUCCCCAUAUGCAUAAG